rnacentral:rRNA from 1 species
GAACCGUCCAAACGUUAUUCGGAAUCACUGGGGCUUAAAGGGGUGCGUAGGCGGCUUGGCAAGUUGGUGUGAAAGCCCUCGGCUCAACCGAGGGAAUUGCGCCCAAAACUGCCUUGAUAGAGUGAGAUAGAGGUGAGCGGAACUUAUGGUGGAGCGGUGAAAUGCGUUGAUAUCAUAAGGAACGCCUGUGGCGAAAGCGGCUCACUGGAUCUCUACUGACGCUGAGGCACGAAAGCUAGGGUAGCGAACGGGAUUAGAUACCCUGGUAGUCCUAGCUGUAAACGAUGAGCACUGGGUUGGAGGCUCCUCCAUAGGCUUCCGGCCGAAGCGAAAGUGUUAAGUGCUCCGCCUGGGGAGUAUGGUCGCAAAGGCUG